rnacentral:rRNA from 1 species
GGAUUCCCCUAGUAAUGGCGAAUGAAGCGGGAACAGCUCAAAUUUGAAAUCUCCGUCGCCUGCGACGGCGAAUUGUAGUUUCGAGAAGCACUUUCUAGGCGAUCCGGGGCCGUCCAAGUUGCUUGGAACAGCACGUCAUAGAGGGUGACAACCCCGUCUGUGGCGGAACCGGCCGCUGACGAUGUGCUUUCGACGAGUCGGGUUGUUUGGGAAUGCAGCCCAAAAUGGGUGGUAAACUCCAUCUAAAGCUAAAUAUUGGCACGAGACCGAUAGCGAACAAGUACCGUGAGGGAAAGAUGAAAAGCACUUUGAAAAGAGAGUUAAAAAGUACGUGAAACCGUUAAAAGGGAAACGAAUGAGGUUAGCAAUGCGUUCCGCGAGAUUCAGCCGGUGGUUGGGCUGGGCGGGAGGUUUGCGGAUCCGAAUGGACCGCUGCCUCUCGGAUCGGUCCCUCGACCGUCGCACUUCUCACGAACGCGCGUCAGUGUCGGUAGGAACUGGGUCUCAAAGGCGCCGGGAAGGUAGGUCCGUACCUUCGGGUUCAGACUGUUAUAGACCGGCGUUUUCAUGGCUCGGAUCCCACCGAGGUGCCGCGGCACGUGCCUCUUUUGGCUGGGGUCCCGUCGUCCCGGUCGGUAGUCGAAUGCGGUGGACUGCGUGCAGUGCAUCGCGACUGCUGCCGGUCGCUUCGGCGGUGACCUCACACCACGUGCCCAGGACGCUGGCGGUGACAUGGCCCCAUCCGACCCGUCUUGAAACACGGACCAAGGAGUCUAACAUGUGCGCGAGUCUUUGAGUGAUCGAAACUCGCAGGCGGAAUGAAAGUGAAGGCGGCUCCGGCCGCUGAGGUGAGAACCCCUCCUCGCGGGGGGCGCAUCAUCACCGACCUAUUCUACUCUUAGGAAGGUUUGAGUAAGAGCGCAUCUGUUGGGA